CACGUAGGGUGCGAGCGUUGUCCGGAAUUAUUGGGCGUAAAGAGCUCGUAGGCGGUGUGUCACGUCGGCCGUGAAAACCUACAGCUUAACUGUGGGCGUGCGGUCGAUACGGGCAUCACUGGAGUUCGGCAGGGGAGACUGGAAUUCCUGGUGUAGCGGUGAAAUGCGCAGAUAUCAGGAAGAACACCUAUGGCGAAGGCAGCUCUCUGGGACGGUACUGACGCUGAGACGCGAAAGCGUGGGGAGCGAACAGG
rnacentral:rRNA from 1 species